rnacentral:rRNA from 1 species
AAGUGGCGCAAGGGUGAGUAACACGUGAAUAAUCUGCCCUCAAGUUCGGGAUAACUUGGCGAAAGUUAAGCUAAUACCGGAUAAGACCACAUUUCUUAAGGAAUGCGGUAAAAGGAGUCUCAAACUUCAUUUGAGGAUGAGUUCGCGGACCAUUAGCUAGUUGGCGGGAUAAUAGCCCACCAAGGCAACGAUGGUUAGCCGGCCUGAGAGGGUGAUCGGCCACACUGGAACUGAGACACGGUCCAGACUCC